GACGAACGCUGGCGGCGUGCCUAAUACAUGCAAGUAGAACGCUGAAGGAGGAGCUUGCUUCUCUGGAUGAGUUGCGAACGGGUGAGUAACGCGUAGGUAACCUGCCUGGUAGCGGGGGAUAACUAUUGGAAACGAUAGCUAAUACCGCAUAAGAGUAGAUGUUGCAUGACAUUUGCUUAAAAGUUGCAAUUGCAUCACUACCAGAUGGACCUGCGUUGUAUUAGCUAGUUGGUGAGGUAACGGCCCACCAAGGCGACGAUACAUAGCCGACCUGAGAGGGUGAUCGGCCACACUGGGACUGAGAAACGGGCCAGACUCCUACGGGAGGCAGCAGUAGGGAAUCUUAGGCAAUAGACGGAAGUCUGACCGAGCAAAGCCGCGUGAGUGAAGAAGGUUUUCGGAUCGUAAAGCUCUGUUGUAAGAGAAGAACGAGUGUGAGAGUGGAAAGUUCACACUGUGACGGUAUCUUACCAGAAAGGGACGGCUAACUACGUG
rnacentral:rRNA from 1 species